UUUUCUCCACGCAGCGCAACGCUACCAGUCCACCACCGCCGCCUCCUCCUUUCCUCCACACCGCCAAGGCCACGAACCAACCCCCGUCCUCCCUCUCGCCGCCUGCUCCGGCCUGCUUCCUCGGGUGCCCGCGCGUGAGCGAGGGAGCGCGGCCGCCCCGGCCUGCUUCCUCGGGUGCCCGCGUGUGGGCGGCUAGGGAGCGCGGUGACCCCGGCCGCACGGCCUGCUUGCUCGGGCGCUCGCGCGUGGGCGGCUAGGGCGCGAGGCGAGCGCGGCGGCCGGGCCGCGCGGGGCCGACAUGGAGAGAUGGAUUUGAAGGCCGCGGUGCUCUCCUGGUCGGUCCAGGAGGUCGCCGACGACGACUCCUACAGGGGCAAGCAUUCUUUCAGCAGAGUUUGUGCGGGUUGUUGUUCCUGAUGGAAAAGCUGUAGAUGCAAUGGUUCCAUAAACUGUGAAAAGGACUUACACUCCCCUCAAUGGGACGGAACAUGAGAUACGUGCACUUCCAAUUUUGCAGUUUACUGUCUUGCAAUUGUCCUAUCUUUACCUGGUUGUAACAAAAUGCAUUCGCGCCAAGUUUUUUUUUGUACUUUUCAUGCUAACUUAAAGAAAAACAGUAGUUAACCAAAAUUGAUUGAACAUGAGGAAUGAAGUGAGAUUGAGAAAUCUAAAGGCUAAGAACUGGUAGGGAGUGAUUAGUUAGUAGUACCUGCACCCAUUGGUUUCGUAAAUUAAUUCAAUGCCAAGAAGGAAUGGGCCAUGCUAUUUUGAUUUCUUUGUAGCUUCAUCACAUUACAAUAUUAUUUCUGUCAUUGUAUCAUUGUUUUUGGAAUUUUAUGUAUUGUGGUAUCGUCACAUCCAUAUAAUGUACCCAGGCAACGUAGUUUCUUGACGAGUAAACUAUAAGUUACCGGAAUUUUGUGUUUGAUGUAUGUCCAGUGUCAACAUAGGAUUCUUAUGUCACAAAAAUGUGAUUCUGAAAUAAUUACCAGAUUUUGAUCGUAAACUUUGUUACUACACCACUUAUCAUAUAUACCAUGACUAUUAUGGUCAUUUCCAAUCAGUUUUUGAUCUUCUCCAAUUUGCCAAAAGGUGAAAUUCUAAUUUGUUGUUAACAAUGGUCUGAUGUGUUUCAUCUUGCUACUUUUGUUUAGAUUAUGGCUUUGUUUUAAGCUACACUGUCGUGGUUAUAGUAAAAUAUUAUCAGCUCCUUUUCUUCUGUUAAUUGGUGUUCAUUAUCUCAAUGCAGGUAAACAUAGAUGAGGGGGAAAGCUUCAUCCUCUGUCUUCUCCCCCUCACUAUUUGCCUGCUGAGAACGCUGGAGGGCAUUCUUUACCAAAUAAGCUGCGUAGUCUAUCAUCUGAAGGGUUUGUUCAACUGUUAUCGGCUAUUUUUAGGAUAGUUCUGGUACAUCUGCUGCAAGCAGCUGAAGUUAAAAAAAAUAGUUCAGUGGAUCAUGAGAAACCUUGAUGGGAACAUGAGUUCUGAUAACACAAAUCCUGUCAUACAACAUGGUGGAUCAGUUGACUUUUCCCAAGGGAAUGACAACGGUGUUACUUCACGGGUCUCCAAUACUGUUACAUGCAGUACUACUAAGCUUCCAUUGUUUCAAGGAAAAGCAACUGAUAUGUCCAGUACAAAUUUAAUAAAAAAAAUGCUCGGUACAUUAAGUUCUAACAUGUUUUUUCUUCCAUAAAACCAAGUUGAUUCGUCAUGGUGAUGCUGUGAGCUGAUAUGUUGAGAGAAAGCACAGAAGCAGUUUUUGCUGCGUGUGAUGCUGCACAUGGACGAUGUGCUAAGCUGAUAGGUGUUCGUGCUGCUCUACAUCCCAAGUAGAGGAUUCUGGAGUUCCUGAUCAUCCAUAAUACACCCUCUGAUUCUAAAUAUAAGAUGUCCCGCUGGUUCCAUUUAAUCUGUCAAAACGCCUUAUAUUUAGGAACGGAAGUAGUAUAAAAGAAGAAUCUAUAGCUGGUACAGAAAAGGUUAUUAAUUUUCUGUUUAAAUAAUAUGCACAGACACACAUUAGUUUCAUAAAAGCAAGUUAUGAUAUUAUCUUAACCUCUUGUCCUCAUAGAUUGGAGGCAGGUUAGGUUACAACAUUCGUGGACUAUCAGCAUAGUGUUCAGGUGGUUAUAUAUUGUUUUAUUGAAGUUUAUGAAAGCUUAAUCUACAGUCUUACAAUCGGAUCAUGGAACAAAGUUAGAAGCUUGUUUUAAAUUUUGUUAUUACAAGCAGCAGCUUAUAGAAUAAGUGCAGCAUCAUUUUGCCAGAAACAUGAAUGAGUAAUGAUGCUAUUUCUGGAGUAUAAAGCCCUCAGGCUUCUCCCUCAAUUAUAUAGCCUUAUGGAUGUACACCAACUUCAUUACAAUGCAGUUACUUUCUUCUGUUUUGCAAGCAAUAUUACCCAGACAGUAGUGCUAUCCACCAUCAAUCAAAGAACUUGAGGAUGAAAUGAUAGUGGAAUUAAGGAUAUAAAGGGUUAGGAAAUCUCGGAUCGUCAUAAUUACUUGAAUUAUCUUCAAAAAGUUUUAUGUUAGGUUUUGUUAAAUCGAAUUCUGAUAUUGAUUUUAGAUUGAUAUCAAUCUUAUUUUGUAGCUGAAUCCCGAUUUAUACAGUUUUUGUGCUCUAACAUUUAAUAUUCCUUUGACGAUGACAAAAACUAUGGCAGUUCUUGACCAAGAGACGUGGGUUGCUGUUGACAUUCCUGAAGAAUUCCAAGUGAUUGUUUUGUCACUGCCAUCAACUGAGGUUCUUGUUAAUGAUGUUGAGAUGCCUAGCACUGGUAACAACUCAAAGCUCAGUGAGGAUGGAGUUUGUACAGGUCAAGAGUCGCAUAUUCAACUGAAAAUAAUGUUGAAAAUAACAGUGGAACAUCUAUGAGGUAUUUGUACCGUGUGCCUCUGAUUGAAGACAUGGUCAGAUCUAUGGUCAUGCCUUGAACUCAUCAGUGAAGCACCCUUGCUCAUGCCUUGAACUCAUCAGUGAAGCACCCUUGUUGAAAAUACUUUCCAUGGAGGUAACAGGAAAAUCGGGAUCAUACUUUAUGGAUGUGGAUUUUUGGGGCAAUGAUGAUGUUUUUCUACUGGGCUUAUUCUGCGAGGAAUGAUGACAUAUUUGUUUUGUCUAGCAUAAAACCUGAAGCUGCAGAGGACUUAAACUGCCAUGGUGUGACAUAUUAUUGUUUGGCAAUAGUCACUGAGGUUUCUAUGGUUGGUGAAUACCAGAACGGCUUCAGAGUCAAAGUUGCAAAGAAUAUUGGUCUGGACGAAGACUUAAACAAACUCGAACAUGCAAUAUUUCUCAAUAAUAUCACAAUAAACGUACGGAUAUGGAAAGCACUUACCUGCAAAACACACAUGAAUGACAAUUUCACACUAAUCAAGUCCCUCUUAGCCCCCACAAAUCUGGGUGAGGAUGUUUGUGGUAUCUGUGUUAAACAGGAUGGAGUCUGUUUGGCUUCUUUCGCAGAGACGUCCAGAAAUUAUUGGGCGAGGAUGCUAUUGAAUCUGUCAUCUCAGCUGUAAGAUGUGGGCGUGUGAAGUGUAUAUGGGUCCACCAGGUAUGCAAAGAAGCUGGAUUCGUGACAAGUUUAUUUGAGAGAUUGGUUAUGCUCAAAUUUGAUAAACAUUUGUUGAAUAUACAGUAUCACAUGAAUCCUUCUGUCAGCUUAUUUCCAAGUGCUAUGAGAGGAAGAUUUUAGAUGGUUCCAUUGUCAUGUCUCCUAGUUGUGAUAAGGAUUACACAUGCCUCCCUUUUGUCAGCUACAUGUUUCUAAAUGUCACUGAUGGAAGAGAAGCAACAAGACAAAGAGGGCACAUGAAGCAGUCGUAGAAACAUGGUUAAAGUUGCUGUUGUUUGCAACUAAUCCAUUCCAUCUUUAAAUGUUGGAUAAGGACAGACCAAGGGCUCAGCAUAGUCCGCGGUCUCUCCAUAUAUUGCUCAAGUUGAUGCAAUUAAAAGUCGACCUGCCAAAAAAAUAUGACACAUAUGAUGGCUUUCAUGUGCGGGUGAAGUCCAUUGAUGAUUUCCAAAGAGAAGAUGAUACAUCAAUACUAUCAACUGUUAAGAGAGGAGUUGUAGGAUUUCUUGCUGAUAACCAAAGAGCAAAUGUUGCUCUUACUAGAGCAAGGUGUGCAUCAAUUUAUUCGGGACCCCUUGUUUUAUUGCUGCUCAAAGUAUGUCAGACCGAUUCUUCAAAUUAUCAGAGAGAUGUAAAUGUGUUUUCAGUGCCACUAAUGAUGCAACCAUCUGUAAGUUGGUUCUGCAAGUAAAGCAAGAGCUUGAUGAACUUGACGAUCUUCUUAAUGCUGAUUCAGUGGGUUUCAGCCAUACCAGAUGGAAGGUAAGUAUUUAGCCAGUUUGACUUUGAACAUGCUUUCAUGUUUUCUAAUAUGUCGCUGCACUUAAAUUACCCAAAAUGCAAACAACAUGUAUGUACAUUUGUCCUAUUAGACUUAUGACUGUUGUCAGGGAGUUAUAGUUUAUUGAGUAUACAAUUCCUUUAUAGUGUGAUUUUGUUUGUGUUCAUGAAUAGAUCUGUACUUCACUUUUUAGAAUCAUGUAUGUGGUUCGCUUGUCUCUGCUAGGCUGUUUGCUCUGUAAUUGGAUUUUGCGAGGUUUGUAGGACAUGUGCUACUUUGUACCAUGCUAUGUUAAUCAUUACGUGGUUCUUUACAUAGAGUACGUGUCAUCUUGAGAACCUCCUAGUUUUCUUGAAGAACACAUUGUCCUUUCAUUUUUCUCGUAUAUGUUAGGAAAUAUGCAACUUAUAUUUUUAGGUGGCCAUAGGCCAAUAUAU